rnacentral:rRNA from 1 species
GCUGGAAUCGCUAGUAAUCGCGAAUCAGAAUGUCGCGGUGAAUACGUUCCCGGGUCUUGUACACACCGCCCGUCGCACCAUGGGAGUCAGCAACGCCCGAAGUCAGUGACCUAACCGAAAGGGAGGAGCUGCCGAAGGCGGGGCCGGUAACUGGGGUGAAGUCGUAACAAGGUACC